rnacentral:rRNA from 1 species
UAAAGUUUUAGAUGUAUAUAUUAAAGUAGUAUUAGUUAAGUUCUUGAAAUUUAAAAAAUUUGGCGGUAUUUUAGUCUAUUCAGAGGAACCUGUUUUUUUAUCGAUAUUCCACGAUGUAUCUUACUUAAAUUUGUUUAUAUAGUUUAUAUAUCGUUGUUUAUUAAAUAUUUUAUAAGAAUAAUAAUUUUUAUAAGGUUAUAUUUGAAAAAAUGUCAGAUCAAGAUGUAGCUAAUGUUUAAGGUUAUAAUGGGUUACAUUUAUAUUAAUAUUGGAUAUAAAUUUGUAAUAGUUUAUUGAAAUUGGAUUUGAUAGUAAAUUAAUAUAGAUAAAUUAAUUGAUUUUAGCUCUAAAAUAUG